rnacentral:rRNA from 1 species
AUGGCUUUGCCCAUUUCUGCUGGCGAUGGCCUCGACUACACCUUGUUGGCCCUUUGCAGCACUAGGUUUCUCUUCACAGCCAGCAGGCACCUUUGCAAGGAAUCCCAAUGGGACAACGACAUCAUUCAUGUAUGGCGGAAUAGAGGCUUCCUCCUGUAUUCAUGUCUAAGAAGAGGGCCUACUAACUCAUGGGGAAUAUAUUGGGCCCACAUGUGGCCAUCAGUGGAGUUGAGAUGUACUAUGUCUUCUCUUCUCCCAAACCAGGCCGAGCUUUGUGAGCCCAAAGCCUGGGAGUUUAUGGUUGUAUUUCUCAUCAAGGAUGUUGGGGGACUUGAAACCUCGGCAGAUGACCGGCUAGUUCAUUUUCUCAUUGCGGUGUUCGAUCCCCCUAGCAGUUAUGUGGGCUAUCUUCAUCCUGAUAUGCAACUGAGUGGUAUUUAA